rnacentral:rRNA from 1 species
GACGAACGCUGGCGGCGUGCCUAAUACAUGCAAGUAGAACGCUGAAGGAGGAGCUUGCUUCUCUGGAUGAGUUGCGAACGGGUGAGUAACGCGUAGGUAACCUGCCUGGUAGCGGGGGAUAACUAUUGGAAACGAUAGCUAAUACCGCAUAAGAGUAGAUGUUGCAUGACAUUGGCUUAAAAGGUGCAAUUGCAUCACUACCAGAUGGACCUGCGUUGUAUUAGCUAGUUGGUGGGGUAACGGCUCACUAAGGCGACGAUACAUAGCCGACCGGAGAGGGGGGGCGGCCACACUGGGACUGAGACACGGCACAGACUCCUACGGGAGGCAGCCGUAGGGCAUCUUCGGCAAUGGGCGGAAGUCUGACCGAGCAACGCCGCGUGAGUGAAGAAGGUUUUCGGAUCGUAAAGCUCUGUUGUAAGAGAAGAACGAGUGUGAGAGUGGAAAGUUCACACUGUGACGGUAUCUUACCAGAAAGGGACGGCUAACUACGUG